ACAAGUACCGUGAGGGAAAGUUGAAAAGCACUUUGAAAAGAGAGUGAAAGAGAACGUGAAACCGUUAUAGUGGAAGCGGAUGGAGCCGACGUAUUAGUGCGUAUUCAGCCUUAAUCAGAUGCAAUCCCUUUGUAAGUAUUAGGUUAACUUUACUUGUAUGGGGUUGUUGUGUUUGUUUUUGGUGCACUUGCGUACAUAGUGCGCCGAAUCAAUCGAAUUCGUUGUUUGAAGCGAACGAAGAGGACUCUGCUUCGGUAGAGAAACCUGAGUUGGUGGAUGGCAAAUGAGUCUGGUUGCAAAAAGAGGCUGGUUUUUCGCGUCAAUUUGAUAGGAUUUGGCUUGUUUAAGUACGACACAUGUGUUUUGCUUCUAUGAGUUAGGUCUUGUUAGGUCGGUGCUCUGCCUCAAUUCGGUGUCUAGUCGGUCAUCCAUUUGACCCGUCUUGAAACACGGACCAAGGAGUUUAAGGUGUACGCAAGUCAUUGGACGUUCAAAAUUCAAAGGCGUAAUGAAAGUGGGACAUUUAGUGUCUGCAGUGUGACAGUUGGUUGAUUCGUUGACCUAUUGGCAACACUGACCCAUGACUGGAAUUUAUUCUGUUGUGGAGUCUGAGCGUAUGCUUUGAGACCCGAAAGAUGGUGAACUAUGCCUGAACAGGACGAAGUCGAGUGAAAACUCGAUGGAAGUCCGAAGCGGUACUGACGUGCAAAUCGAUCGUCUGAUUUGGGUAUAGGGGCGCAAGACUAAUCGAACCAUCUAGUAGCUGGUUCCUUCCGA
rnacentral:rRNA from 1 species